rnacentral:rRNA from 1 species
UACGUAGGGGGCUAGCGUUGUCCGGAAUCAUUGGGCGUAAAGAGCGUGUAGGCGGCCCGGUAAGUCCGCUGUGAAAGUCGGGGGCUCAACCCUCGAAAGCCGGUGGAUACUGUCGGGCUAGAGUGCGGAAGAGGCGAGUGGAAUUCCUGGUGUAGCGGUGAAAUGCGCAGAUAUCAGGAGGAACACCGAUUGCGAAGGCGACUUCCUGGCCUGUUCUUGACGCUGAGGCGCGAAAGCUAGGGGAGCAAACGGG